GAUGAACGCUAGCGACAGGCUUAACACAUGCAAGUCGAGGGGCAGCACGGGAGUAGCAAUACAACUGGUGGCGACCGGCGCACGGGUGAGUAACGCGUAUGCAACCUACCUAUCAGAGGGGAAUAACCCGGCGAAAGUCGGACUAAUACCGCAUAAAACAGGGGCACCGCAUGGUGAUAUUUGUUAAAGAAAUUCGCUGAUAGAUGGGCAUGCGUUCCAUUAGGUAGUUGGUGAGGUAACGGCUCACCAAGCCGACGAUGGAUAGGGGAACUGAGAGGUUGGUCCCCCACACUGGUACUGAGACACGGACCAGACUCCUACGGGAGGCAGCAGUGAGGAAUAUUGGUCAAUGGGCGGGAGCCUGAACCAGCCAAGUCGCGUGAAGGAAGAAGGAUCUAUGGUUCGUAAACUUCUUUUGCAGGGGAAUAAAGUGCAGGACGUGUCCUGUUUUGUAUGUACCCUGAGAAUAAGGAUCGGCUAACUCUGUGCCAGCCGCCGCAGUAAGAC
rnacentral:rRNA from 1 species